rnacentral:rRNA from 1 species
CCUACGGGAGGCAGCAGUGGGGGAUAUUGCACAAUGGGGGAAACCCUGAUGCAGCGACGCCGCGUGGGUGAAGAAGCGCCUCGGCGCGUAAAGCCCUGUCAGCAGGGAAGAAAAUGACGGUACCUGAAGAAGAAGCCACGGCUAAAUACGUGCCAGGAGCCGCGGUAAUACGUAGGGGGCAAGCGUUAUCCGGAUUUACUGGGUGUAAAGGGGGCGCAGACGGCGAUGCAAGCCAGGAGUGAAAGCCCGGGGCCCAACCCCGGGACUGCUCUUGGAACUGCGUGGCUAGAGUGCAGGAGGGGCAGGCGGAAUUCCUGGUGUAGCGGUGAAAUGCGUAGAUAUCAGGAGGAACACCGGUGGCGAAGGCGGCCUGCUGGACUGCAACUGACGUUGAGGCCCGAAAGCGUGGGGAGCAAACAGGAUUAGAUACCCCAGUAGUC